GAUAUGUAAUCCCUACCCACCACUGAGGAUGAACAGAGCAUUCUUCAGCAGUAUGACCGUCACCAGGUUUUCUCUUGUGUUUUCUGUCUGUUUAGUGACUCUUCUUGUUUGGGGAUGUACUACAGGGAUUUGUCUGGUUAAUGACAAUGUAACCGCACAACCAGUUACGACAGCAACAACCACAGGUUAUAAUGCAACGCAAAGAAUGGAUAGAGGGACAUCUCCUGGUGUGUUUUGUCAAAAGGAUCCAAGAUAAACUCCUGAGGAGGUCUCCAACAGAGGGGUCACCAGCAGUAGACGUGAGGCCCAUAAAGGCUUCAGGGUUAGGGGUUAAAUGAAACCUCAUUACACCCUCCCUCACCAACUCCCCCCCACCCCCAACUGGAUCGACUUCCUGACUUUGUUCGUCAUUCACCCCAUGCAACGUCAGAGAUCAACGCAUGAACUCGAAAUUGUGAAACAACUGGAACUUGGAGCAGAGCCCCUUUCACUGUUCCUCAUCCUGUGCCUUACUGUUUUUUUUCUUUCCCCAACUGUCCCUCCACCCCUUUCUCCUGCCAACACUCCCGACUGCGGGCUCCUCCUCAGCUGAACAGACACAUUUCCUGAUGUCAUUAGUAAAUCAAAAUGCUGCUCAGCCAGCAGAUGUUGCAUGAGGUUGAACACGUAGAUUUUGUAACAUAAAUGUAAGGCGGGAAAAAACAUAGUUCUUUUGUUAAAUUAAGGACCACCUACCUGUGUGUG